GCCUAGGGCCACACUGGACUGACCACACCUGAUCCCAUCCAAUCUUGGAAGUGAAGCGGUCCCAGGCCUGGCUAUACUUAGAUGGGAGACUCCCUGGGUAUCCCAGAUGCCGUAGGCU
rnacentral:rRNA from 1 species